CCUACGGGUGGCAGCAGUGGGGAAUAUUGGGCAAUGGGCGCAAGCCUGACCCAGCAACGCCGCGUGAAGGAAGAAGGCUUUCGGGUUGUAAACUUCUUUUCUCAGGGACGAAGAAAGUGACGGUACCUGAGGAAUAAGCCACGGCUAACGACGUGCCAGCAGCCGGGGUAAUACGGAGGUGGCAAGCGUUAACCGGAUUUACUGGGUGUAAAGGGCGUGUAGGCGGGACUGCAAGUCAGAUGUGAAAACCACGGGCUCAACCUGUGGCCUGCAUUUGAAACUGUAGUUCUUGAGUACUGGGGAGGCAGACGGAAUUCCUAGUGUAGCGGUGAAAUGCGUAGAUAUUAGGAGGAACACCAGUGGCGAAGGCGGUCUGCUGGACAGCAACUGACGCUGAGGCGCGAAAGCGUGGGGAGCAAACAGGAUUAGAUACCCUAGUAGUC
rnacentral:rRNA from 1 species